rnacentral:rRNA from 1 species
CCUACGGGAGGCAGCAGUGGGGGAUAUUGCACAAUGGGGGAAACCCUGAUGCAGCGACGCCGCGUGUGGGAAGACGGUCCUCUGGAUUGUAAACCACUGUCCCCAGGGACGAAGAUGACGGUACCUGGGGAGAAAGCUCCGCCUAACUACGUGCCAGCAGCCGCGGUAAUACGUAGGGAGCGAGCGUUUUCCGGAAUUACUGGGUGUAAAGGGAGCGUAGGCGGGACUGCAAGUUGGGUGUCAAAUCUACCGGCUCAACCGGUAGCCGCACUUAAAACUGCAGUUCUGGAGUGAAGUAGAGGCAGGCGGAAUUCCUAGUGUAGCGGUGAAAUGCGUAGAUAUUAGGAGGAACACCAGCGGCGAAGGCGGCCUGCUGGGCUUUUACUGACGCUGAGGCUCGAAAGUGUGGGGAGCAAACAGGAUUAGAUACCCGAGUAGUC